rnacentral:rRNA from 1 species
UUUAACUGAGCGUUCAGUUACUUGACGUAGACCCGAAACCGGGCGACCUACCCAUGAGCAGGAUGAAGCGAAAGUAAAAUUUCGUGGAGGUCCGAACCCACGAGCGUUGAAAAGCUCGGGGAUGACUUGUGGGUAGCGGUGAAAUUCCAAUCGAGCCCGGAGAUAGCUGGUUCUCCCCGAAAUAGCUUUAGGGCUAGCCUCAAGGUGAGAGAUACGGAGGUAGAGCACUGAAUGUCCUAGGGGGUAUUGCACCUACCGAAGACUAUCAAACUCCGAAUGCCGUCAUCUUAUACUUGGGAGUCAGACUGUGGGUGAUAAGAUUCAUAGUCGAAAGGGCAACAGCCCAGAUCGUCAGCUAAGGUCCCUAAAUGUAAGUUAAGUGGUAAAGGAUGUGGGAUUGCACAGACAACCAGGAUGUUGGCUUAGAAGCAGCCACUCAUUCAAAGAGUGCGUAAUAGCUCACUGGUCGAGUGAUCCUGCGCCGAAGAUUUCCGGGGCUAAAACUUACUACCGAAGCUACGGCAUCAGUAAUGAUGGGUAGGGGAGCUUCCCAUACGGGUUGAAGCAUGACCGUAAGGACAUGUGGACAGUAUGGGAGUGAGAAUGUUGGCAUGAGUAGCGAGAUGUGGGUGAGAAUCCCACAGGCCGUAAACCCAAGGUUUCCAGGGGAAGGUUCGUCCGCCCUGGGUUAGUCGGGACCUAAGCUGAGGCCGAAAGGCGUAGGUGAUGGACAACAGGUUGAUAUUCCUGUACUACCGAUAACCGUUUGAGAGAAGGGAUGACACAGUAGGAUAAGCUAAGCACACUGUUGGUUAUGUGUGCCCAAGCAUUGAGGCAGUCAAAGUAGGCAAAUCCGCUUUGAUAAUGCUGGGAUGUGAUGGGGAGCGAAAUUUAGUAGCGAAGUAGCUGAUUUCACACUGUCAAGAAAAGUCUCUAUCGAGGUUAAAGGUACCCGUACCGCAAACCGACACAGGUGGGUGAGGAGAGUAUCCUAAGGCCAGCGAGAGAACUGUUGUUAAGGAACUCGGCAAAAUGACCCCGUAACUUAGGGAUAAGGGGUGCCACCAUCAGGUGGCCGCAGAGAAUAGGCCCAAGCGACUGUUUACCAAAAACAUAGGUUUCUGCUAAGUCGCAAGACGAUGUAUAGGAGCUGACGCCUGCCCGGUGCUGGAAGGUUAAGGGGAUCUGUUAGAGCAAUCGAAGCAGUGAACUUAAGCCCCAGUAAACGGCGGCCGUAACUAUAACGGUCCUAAGGUAGCGAAAUUCCUUGUCGGGUAAGUUCCGACCCGCACGAAAGGCGUAACGAUUUGGGCACUGUCUCAACAACAGACUCGGUGAAAUUGUAAUUCCGGUGAAGAUGCCGGAUACCUGCGACAGGACGGAAAGACCCCAUGGAGCUUUACUGUAGCUUGACAUUGGGUCUUGGUACUACAUGUACAGGAUAGGUGGGAGGCUUUGAAACCAGGACGCCAGUUUUGGCGGAGCCAUCCUUGGGAUACCACCCUUGUA